rnacentral:rRNA from 1 species
UUGUAACGUGGUGCCGGCAGGAGCGGUAAGAGGAAGGGGAAAAGCGGUGUUCGGAAGUACUGGGCGUAAAGCGCGCGUAUGCGGACGUGUAAGUCGAUUGUGAAAGCCCUGGGCUUAACCUGGGAACUGCAGUCGAAACGGCACGUCUGGAGUGCCUGAGAGGAUGGCGGAAUUCCCGGUGUAGUAGUGAAAUACGUAGAUAUCGGGAAGAACACCUGAGGCGAAGGCGGCUAUCUGGCGGUGCACUGACGCUGAGGCGCGAAAGCGUGGGGAGCAAACAGGAUUAGAUACCCGUGUAGUC